CUGUGGUCUGAAGUGUGUACCUGUGGUCAGGUGAGUGUGUACCUGUGGUCUGAAGUGUGUACCUGUAGUCAGGUGAGUGUGUACCUGAGGUCAGGUGAGUGUGUACCUGUGGUCAGGUGAGUGUGUACCUGUGGUCUGAAGUGUGUACCUGUGGUCAGGUGAGUGUGUACCUGUGGUCUGAAGUGUGUACCUGUAGUCAGGUGAGUGUGUACCUGAGGUCAGGUGAGUGUGUACCUGUGGUCAGGUGAGUGUGUACCUGUGGUCUGAAGUGUGUACCUGUGGUCAGGUGAG